rnacentral:ncRNA from 1 species
AGAUGGCCGAUGAUGAGAAAUAGUAUGUCUUAUUGAGAGUGUCUUAGCGAGUCAGAGAUGGUGAAAGUCUGAUACAAGUCUCUUAGACAGAAUGGUUCUCAGAGGUGUGAUCCGAAAGCGCUGGCUAGUAGGUGAUUCCGGGGGUUUCCCGUUACAGAGACAAGGGUAUCGAGAUGUCUUUUCUCCGUACCUGAUUUAAUGAAGAGGUAUCAGAGGUUUUUCUUGAAGUCCAAUUUCCAUUGGCUUGGAUGAAUCAAGAAGAGUUGCUGAUACGAAUUAAGGUGGUACCACGGAGCUUUCCGUCCUUUUG